GGAGAGGUGCCGGAGUGGUCGAACGGGGCGGUCUCGAAAACCGUUGUGCGCUAGCGUACCCAGGGUUCGAAUCCCUGUCUCUCCGCCA
rnacentral:tRNA from 2 species